rnacentral:rRNA from 1 species
CCCUUAGAUGUUCUGGGCCGCACGCGUGCUACACUGAGUGGAUCAGCGGGUCAGGUUGCGCGAAAGCGUUUCCUAAUCUUUAAAUCCGCUCGUGAUGGGGAUUGACGGUUGCAAUUUUCUGUCAUGAACGAGGAAUACCUUGUAAGCGCGGGUCAUCAUCCCGCGCUGAAUACGUCCCUGCCCUUUGUACACACCGCCCGUCGCUCCUACCGAUGAAUGGUCCGGUGAGGACUCAGGAUGCCUUUUGUCUCGGUUCGCCGUACAAAAGUGUCAGAAUUUGUUCAAACCUUAUCAUUUAAAGGAAGGAGAAGUCGUAACA